UGCCGAAACCCGGGAUCGAACCAGGGACCUUUAGAUCUUCAGUCUAACGCUCUCCCAAAUUGCAAAUCCUCUGC
rnacentral:tRNA from 1 species